UUUAAUUAGAUACCAAAAUUCAUUACUCUAAAAAUCAAACUCCAGAAUUUAUAUUUCUCCGGCGAAGUUUGAGGUGAAUCUUUCGAUCUGAGAUCUUCAUCAACUUCUGGGAGAACCGCCGAAACGAUUAGCUUUUUGACUCACCGUACUCCACCGCUUUAGCCGGUAUAACCUCCGCCUUUGCAAGAAAAACCAAACCUGUAUCGACGAGACUCUCCUCCUAAUCGAAUCAUUUAAAGAGAAAUGGUAAGCAAUUGGUUGUGGUCCUCUCAAAUCAACCCAUGGGGAAGGGAUCGUUUAUGAUCGGUUGAUUUGUUAUGUCAUCGUUGCUUCGUCUCCGGUUCUCGACUCGUUGAGUUAGAACUAUCAUCAACAAUGGUGAUUUACGUAAGAAUUGAUGUGGCGAAUCAGCUUGGUUCCUUCCACCGGAAUAAAGGAAGGAUCAUCCGUCAAUGAAUAAAAAUUCAGGAACAAUUAUCGAGUUCAAGCAACGAUUUUGCAAGAAGAUGAAGAGAAAGUGGUGGUGGAGGAGUCAUUUAAAGCCGAGACAUUUACUGGACUUGGUGAUUAAGAUACUUCACAGAUUGUAUUGUUAUCGAAUCUAUGCAACGUUUUUUGUUCUUGAGACGAUUGCUAGAGUGCCUUAUUUUUGCCAGUACAUCUAUCUGUAGUUUCAGUUCCUUAUAAGUUUGUGGAAGUUACAUUUAAGAGAGUAUAAAGAGCUAGUCAUCAGGAUUUUGUAUUCUUUGUAAGACAGUAAGAUUGUGAAUGUCACUUGAGAUAUGUGAAAAAAAACAUUGACAUACUA